UGGGGGAUAUUGCACAAUGGGCGAAAGCCUGAUGCAGCGACGCCGCGUGGGGGAUGAAGGCUUUCGGGUUGUAAACCUCUUUCGCUAUCGAACAAGGCCCGCUUAGGGUGGGGUGAGGGUAGGUGGAGAAGAAGCGCCGGCUAACUACGUGCCAGCAGCCGCGGUAAUACGUAGGGCGCGAGCGUUGUCCGGAAUUAUUGGGCGUAAAGGGCUUGAAGGCGGCUUGUUGCGCCUGCUGUGAAAACGCGGGGCUUAACUUCGCGCGUGCAGUGGGUACGGGCAGGCUUGAGUGUGGUAGGGGUGACUGGAAUUCCAGGUGUAGCGGUGGAAUGCGCAGAUAUCUGGAGGAACACCGAUGGCGGAGGCAGGUCACUGGGACAUUACUGACGCUGAGGAGCGAAAGCAUGGGUAGCGAACAGG
rnacentral:rRNA from 1 species